rnacentral:rRNA from 1 species
GACGAACGCUGGCGGCGUGCCUAAUACAUGCAAGUCGAGCGCAGGAAAUCGACGGAACCCUUCGGGGGGAAGUCGACGGAAUGAGCGGCGGACGGGUGAGUAACACGUAAAGAACCUACCCUCAGGUCUGGGAUAACCACGAGAAAUCGGGGCUAAUACCGGAUGGGUCAUCGGACCGCAUGGUCCGAGGAUGAAAGGCGCUUCGGCGGCGGCCGGGGAUGGCUUUGCGGUGCAUUAGCUAGUUGGUGGGGUAAUGGCCCACCAAGGCGACGAUGCAUAGCCGACCUGAGAGGGUGAUCGGCCACACUGGGACUGAGACACGGCCCAGACUCCUACGGGAGGCAGCAGUAGGGAAUCUUCCACAAUGGACGAAAGUCUGAUGGAGCAACGCCGCGUGAACGAUGAAGGCCUUCGGGUCGUAAAGUUCUGUUGUAAGGGAAGAACAAGUGCCGCAGGCAAUGGCGGCACCUUGACGGUACCUUGCGAGAAAGCCACGGCUAACUACGUGCCAGCAGCCGCGGUAA